rnacentral:rRNA from 1 species
GGAGCUUGCUCCCAAAGGUUAGCGGCGGAGGGGGAGUAACACGUGGGCAACCUGACCUGUAAGACUGGGAUAACUUCGGGAAACCGGAGCUAAUACCGGAUAAUAUAUGAGACCACAUGGUCUCGUAUUAAAAGAUGGCUUCUUGCUAUCACUUACAGAUGGGCCCGCGGCGCAUUAGCUAGUUGGUGAGGUAACGGCUCACCAAGGCAACGAUGCGUAGCCGACCUGAGAGGGUGAUCGGCCACACUGGGACUGAGACACGGCCCAGACUCCUACGGGAGGCAGCAGUAGGGAAUCUUCCGCAAUGGACGAAAGUCUGACGGAGCAACGCCGCGUGAGCGAAGAAGGUCUUCGGAUCGUAAAGCUCUGUUGUUAGGGAAGAACAAGUAUCGUUCGAAUAGGGCGGUACCUUGACGGUACCUAACCAGAAAGCCACGGCUAACUACGUGCCAGCAGCCGCGGUAAUACGUAGGUGGCAAGCGUUAUCCGGAAUUAUUGGGCGUAAAGCGCGCGCAGGCGGUCCUUUAAGUCUGAUGUGAAAGCCCACGGCUCAACCGUGGAGGGUCAUUGGAAACUGGGGGACUUGAGUGCAGAAGAGGAGAGCGGAAUUCCACGUGUAGCGGUGAAAUGCGUAGAGAUGUGGAGGAACACCAGUGGCGAAGGCGGCUCUCUGGUCUGUAACUGACGCUGAGGCGCGAAAGCGUGGGGAGCGAACAGGAUUAGAUACCCUGGUAGUCCACGCCGUAAACGAUGAGUGCUAAGUGUUAGAGGGUUUCCGCCCCUUUAGUGCUGCAGGCAAACGCAUUAAGGCACUCCGCCCUGGGGAGUACGGUCGCAAGACUGAAACUCAAAGGGAAUUGACGGGGGCCCGCACAAGCGGUGGGAGCAUGGUGGUUUAAUUCGAAGCAACGCGAAGACCCUUACCAGGUCUUGACAUCCUCUGACCACCUCCUAGAAGA